GAGCUCGUGCCCGAGCAGAGGGGCCCGCCGCUCGCCGCCGGCCUUCCAGGGACGCGAACCCGGGGGCGGGGGAGGAGACUGCCCGAAGUGUUUUCUCGCUGUUGGUUUUGCUUUGCUUCGUUUCUAGGGCUGACUCCACCUGCCGCUAAGUAGGGGCUUCUCAAACUCUGGCGCGCGUCAGCGUCAUCUGGCGGGGGUGUGCGAGCUCACGGCUGGGCCCUACCCUAGGGCUUCGGAGUCAGUAGGCCCGGGAUGGGCCCCAAAGUAUUUCUAGCAAGAACGCCCCCUUGCUGGGAUCUUUAGGGCCCGCCCGUGCCCGGCGUGGAAUGCCGUGACGGCAUCUCAACUUGGGGACUUACAAGAGGCCCCAGAUACACCUGGCUUGUCUGCCUGUUGGAACAACAUCAAGAUUUGGGGAAGAAGAUGGCAACUCCCUGGCGGUCCAGUGGUUAGGACUCCGCGCUCUCCCUGCGGAGGGCAUCUCUGUGCUGGAGAUCAACGAGAGGAAUAAACUUAAGGUCUUCCCAGGGCUUUUCUGAGCCUGCACCCUUCCUAAGCCGCUAACAACCACCAUUCUCCUUUCUGCAUCUAUGAAUUUGAUGACUCUAUGUACUUCCUGUGAGUGGACUCAUACUAUGACUGGCUUAUUUCACUCAGCAUAAUAUCUUCAAGGUUCAUCCCUGCUGUAGCUCAUGUCAGAAUUUCCUUCCUUGGGCUUCCCUGGUGGCACAGUGGUUAAGAAUCCGCCUGCUAAUGCAGCGGACACGGGUUGAAACCCUGGUCUGGGAAGAUCCCACAUGCCGUACAGCAACUAAGCCCGUGUGCCACAACUACUGAACCUGCGCUCUAGGGCCCGCGAGCCACAACUACGGAGCCUGCGUGCUGCAACAACUGAAGCCCGCGCGCCUAGAGCCCGUGUUCUGCAUGCAAGAGAAGCCACUGCAAUGAGGAGCCCGCGCACAGCAACAAAGAGCAGCCCCCGCUCGCCGCAGCUAGAGAAAAGCCUGCACGCAGCAAUGAAGACCCAACGCAGCCAAAAAUAAAAUAAUUUAAAAGAAGAAAAGAAUUUCCUUCCUUUUAAAGGCUGAAUAAUAUUCCAUCGUGUGUUUAUGCCAGAGUUUGUAUAUCCAUUCAUCCACUGAAGGACACUAGGGCUGCUUCCACCUUUUGGCUACUGUGAAUAACGCUGCUGUGAACAUGGGUGUGCAGAUCUCUCUCUGAGAUCCUGCUUUUGAUCCAAGCUACAGAAUUCUGAGGUGCUUCAUCACAUAGCAGUAGACAACCAGCACGUUGAGCUGUGAUUAGACCUCACCAGCUGAAAUGGUGGGAGGAUGAUGGUUGCUGAAGCAGAGAAGCGCAUUGUCUGUGUCAGAGCAUGGGGUCCAGCUUUAGAGACUGGUCGCUGACUGGGUGCCACCAGGUCCUCCACUUAGGCGGUGGAAGCUCUCACUUCCCUGGCUGUUCGAUAGAGAGGAUGAAGCAGGUUACCGAACAGCAGCAGUUUAUAAAAGGAUUCAUGACUGUCGUCAAUAAGGAGGAGAGACUACUCUGUCUGUAUUCAGGCUGGACCGGCUGCUAACAUGUCCCCUCCACCAGGACGAUACUAGAGCCAAGUGUGGAAAAUCAGAGGUGAUUUGGUCAGGCCAGUGCUGGAGAGUUGAGAACCAAGAAUUAAAUCAACCUUGGCUUUCUCUCUUCUUUUUGUGUGUGUGUGGGGGGGCGGGGCAAGGGGCUGCGCUGCACGGCUUGCGGGAUCUCAGUUCCCAGACCAAGGGUUGAACUUGGGCCACGGCGGUGAAAGCCUGGAAUCCUAACCGCUAGGCCACCCGGGAACUCCUUCAACCUUGGAUUUCAUCACAGGCCUGAUGGGAUGGACUGUCACUGUCAAAGUUCACCAAGGCUGACAAAGGAAAGGAAGGAACCACGGCCACCUUCCUGGAGCAAGUCCAGUGGAGGUCAGCUCCAGGCACCAGGGUGCACCUGGGGAUCCUGCUCUGAGGAGGCGAGCCUCACCCUCUUGACGUUGGUGGUGGGGAAUGAGAGGUUCCCCAGCUGUUUUUAAAAAUAGUGUAUUAGGGCUUCCCUG